UUAGGAAUCUUCCACAACGGGCGAAAGCCUGAUGGAGCGACGCCGCGUGAGGGAUGAAGGCCUUAGGGUUGUAAACCUCUAAAAGAGGGACGAUAAUGACGGUACCUCUUGAAUAGCACCGGCUAACUCCGUGCCAGCAGCCGCGGUAAUACGGAGGGUGCAAGCGUUAUCCGGAAUCACUGGGCGUAAAGGGCGCGUAGGCGGUCUGUUAAGUCCGAUUUUAAAUCCCGGGGCUCAACCGCGGAUAAGCGUUGGAUACUGGCAGGCUAGACGGUUGGAGAGGCGAGUGGAAUUACCAGUGUAGCGGUGGAAUGCGUAGAUACUGGUAGGAACACCCAUUGCGAAGGCAGCUCGCUGGACAACACGUGACGCUGAGGCGCGAAAGUGUGGGGAGCAAACC
rnacentral:rRNA from 1 species